rnacentral:tRNA from 1 species
GCCCAGGUAGCUCAGUCGGUAGAGCGAGGGACUGAAAAUCCCUGCGUCGGCGGUUCGAUUCCGUCCCUGGGCA